GACGAACGCUGGCGGCGUGCUUAACACAUGCAAGCCGAGCGGUAAGGCCCUUUCGGGGGUACACGAGCGGCGAACGGGUGAGUAACACGUGGGUGACCUGCCUUUAGCUCUGGGAUAAGCCUGGGAAACUGGGUCUAAUACCGGAUACGACUCCGCGGUGCAUGCUGUGGGGUGGAAAGCCUUGUGCGGCUGGAGAUGGGCCCGCGGCCUAUCAGCUUGUUGGUGGGGUGAUGGCCUACCAAGGCGACGACGGGUAGCCGGCCUGAGAGGGCGACCGGCCACACUGGGACUGAGACACGGCCCAGACUCCUACGGGAGGCAGCAGUGGGGAAUCUUGCGCAAUGGGCGAAAGCCUGACGCAGCGACGCCGCGUGAGGGAUGACGGCC
rnacentral:rRNA from 1 species